GGAGCUGGCUAGGCCGUCGCUGGUGCAUGGUGUCGAAAGACCGCACUGGAGGAACGUCCGGACUGCAUAGGGAAGCGUAGGAGGUAACACCUCUGCACCGACCGCCGAAAGGUCUAAGGUGACGAUUAGAGCAACAGAGACGAGCCGCUUAAGUGCGGGUGAAACGGGCAAUCUCUACGCGCAGCAAUACCAAAUAGGCCAACACGUGAAACUUAGGUUUUGCAACCUGCGUUCCGUAGGUUGUUGGCGGGUAGGUAGCACCGAGCCGCUUGGGUGACCAGCGGCCCAGAUGAAUGACGGUCACGGUGGGGGCAACCCCACUGCACAAAAUCCGGCGUAUCGGCCAGCUUCACAC
rnacentral:RNase_P_RNA from 1 species